rnacentral:rRNA from 1 species
GGACUAAUAUGUCGGUCGUGCCUCGGUACGUACUGGUUUAUUGGUUUCUCCUUUCUGAAGAACCAUGAUGUCAUUUAUUUGGUGUCGUGGGGAAUCAGGACUGUUACUUUGAAAAAAUUAGGAGUGUUUAAAGCAGGCUCACGCUUGAAUACAUUAGCAUGGAAUAAUGAAAUAGGACGUUUGAUUCUAUUUUGUUGGUUUCUAGAGUCGCCGUAAUGAUUA